GACGAACGCUGGCGGCGUGCUUAACACAUGCCAGUCGAACGGAAAGGCCCUGCUUUUGUGGGGUGUUCGAGUGGCGAACGGGUGAGUAACACGUGAGUAACCUGCCCUUGACUUUGGGAUAACUUCAGGAAACUGGGGCUAAUACCGGAUAGGAGCUCCUGCUGCAUGGUGGGGGUUGGAAAGUUUCGGCGGUUGGGGAUGGACUCGCGGCUUAUCAGCUUGUUGGUGGGGUAGUGGCUUACCAAGGCUUUGACGGGUAGCCGGCCUGAGAGGGUGACCGGCCACAUUGGGACUGGGAUACGGCCCAGACUCCUACGGGAGGCAGCAGUGGGGAAUAUUGCCCAAUGGGCGGAAGCCUGAUGCAGCAACGCCGCGUGCGGGAUGACGGCCUUCGGGUUGUAAACCGCUUUCGCCUGUGACGAAGCGUGAGUGACGGUAAUGGGUAAAGAAGCACCGGCUAACUACGUG
rnacentral:rRNA from 1 species